rnacentral:rRNA from 1 species
GACGAACGCUGGCGGCGUGCCUAAUACAUGCAAGUUGAGCGCUGAAGGUUGGUACUUGUACCAACUGGAUGAGCAGCGAACGGGUGAGUAACGCGUGGGGAAUCUGCCUUUGAGCGGGGGACAACAUUUGGAAACGAAUGCUAAUACCGCAUAAAAACUUUAAACACAAGUUUUAAGUUUGAAAGAUGCAAUUGCAUCACUCAAAGAUGAUCCCGCGUUGUAUUAGCUAGUUGGUGAGGUAAAGGCUCACCAAGGCGAUGAUACAUAGCCGACCUGAGAGGGGGAACGGCCACAAUGGGACUGAGACACGGCCCAAACUCCUACGGGAGGCAGCAGUAGGGAAUCUUCGGCAAUGGACGAAAGGCUGAACGAGGAAAGCCGCGUGAGGGAAGAAGGUUUUCGGAUCGGAAAACUCUGUUGGUAGAGAAGAAAGUUGGUGAGAGUGGAAAGCGCAUCAAGUGACGGUAACUACCCAGAAAGGGACGGCUAACUACGUA